rnacentral:tRNA from 1 species
AAGAAUCUAGUUAAAUAAUAACAUAAGAUCGUCAAUCUUAAAUUACCUUUGUGCUUCUUA